AUUCUUGGUCAUUUUAGAGGAAGUAAAAGUCGUAACAAGGUUUCCGUAGGUGGACCUGCGGAAGGAUCAUUAAAGAGUAAGGGUCUCUGGCCCGACCUCCAACCCUCUGUUGUUAAAACUACCUUGUUGCUUUGGCUGGACCGUGUACAAGUCUCCUGUUCUUCGGAUUGGUGAGCGCCCGCCAGAGUCCAACCAAACUCUUGUAUUAAACCAGUCGUCUGAGUAUAAAAUUUUAAUUUAAUUAAAACUUUCAACAACGGAUCUCUUGGUUCUCGCAUCGAUGAAGAACGCAGCGAAAUGCGAUAAGUAAUGUGAAUUGCAGAAUUCAGUGAAUCAUCGAAUCUUUGAACGCACAUUGCGCCCCUUGGUAUUCCGAGGGGCAUGCCUGUUCGAGCGUCAUUACACCACUCAAGCACUGCUUGGUAUUGGGCACCCGUCCGCCGAAAGGCGGGCGUGCCUCGAAGACCUCGGCGGGGCCUGACCGGCUUCGGACGUAGUAGAGUUAAAUCAAAACGUCUCAUGAGUCCGGUUGGAACCCAUUGCCGUAAAACCUUUUUAUUUCUAGGUUGACCUCGGAUCAGGUAGGGAUACCCGCUGAACUUAAGCAUAUCAAUAAGCGGAGGA
rnacentral:sRNA from 1 species